CCUGAUGGCUCAGACAGUAAAGAAUCUGUCUGCAAUGCAGGAGACCCAGGUUCGAUUCCUGGGUCAGGA
rnacentral:tRNA from 1 species